AUUGAACGCUGGCGGCAUGCCUUACACAUGCAAGUCGAACGGCAGCGGGGGAGAAGCUUGCUUUUCCUGCCGGCGAGUGGCGAACGGGUGAGUAAUACAUCGGAACGUGCCCUGUAGUGGGGGAUAACUAGUCGAAAGAUUAGCUAAUACCGCAUACGACCUGAGGGUGAAAGUGGGGGACCGCAAGGCCUCAUGCUAUAGGAGCGGCCGAUGUCUGAUUAGCUAGUUGGUGGGGUAAAGGCCUACCAAGGCGACGAUCAGUAGCUGGUCUGGGAGGACGAUCAGCCACACUGGGACUGAGACACGGCCCAGACUCGUACGGGAGGCAGCAGUGGGGAAUUUUGGACAAUGGGCGAAAGCCUGAUCCAGCAAUGCCGCGUGUGUGAAGAAGGCCUUCGGGUUGUAAAGCACUUUUGUCCGGAAAGAAAUGGCUCUGGUUAAUACCUGGGGUCGAUGACGGUACCGGAAGAAUAAGGACCGGCUAACUACGUGCCAGCCGCCGCCGUAA
rnacentral:rRNA from 1 species